AACGAACGCUGGCGGCAGGCCUAACACAUGCAAGUCGAGCGAACCCUUCGGGGUUAGCGGCGGACGGGUGAGUAACGCGUGGGAACGUGCCCUUUGCUACGGAAUAGCCCCCGGGAAACUGGGAGUAAUACCGUAUGUGCCCUUCGGGGGAAAGGAUUUAUCGGCAAAGGAUCGGCCCGCGUUGGAUUAGGUAGUUGGUGGGGUAAGUGGCCUACCAAGCCGACGAUCCAUAGCUGGUUUGAGAGGAUGAUCAGCCACACUGGGACUGAGACACGGCCCAGACUCCUACGGGAGGCAGCAGUGGGGAAUCUUAGACAAUGGGCGCAAGCCUGAUCUAGCCAUGCCGCGUGAUCGAUGAAGGCCUUAGGGUUGUAAAGAUCUUUCAGUGGGGAAGGAUAAUGACUGUA
rnacentral:rRNA from 1 species